UGGGGAAUAUUGCACAAUGGGCGAAAGCCUGAUGCAGCGACGCCGCGUGAGGGAUGACGGCCUUCGGGUUGUAAACCUCUUUCAGUAGGGACGAAGCGCAAGUGACGGUACCUGCAGAAGAAGCACCGGCUAACUACGAGCCAGCAGCCGCGGUAAUACGUAGGGUGCGAGCGUUGUCCGGAAUUACUGGGCGUAAAGAGCUCGUAGGCGGUUUGUCACGUCGUCUGUGAAAUCCUAGGGCUUAACCCUGGACGUGCAGGCGAUACGGGCUGACUUGAGUACUACAGGGGAGACUGGAAUUUCUGGUGUAGCGGUGGAAUGCACAGAUAUCAGGAAGAACACCGAUGGCGAAGGCAGGUCUCUGGGUAGUAACUGACGCUGAGGAGCGAAAGCAUGGGUAGCGAACAGG
rnacentral:rRNA from 1 species